rnacentral:rRNA from 1 species
CCUACGGGAGGCAGCAGUAGGGAAUCUUCCGCAAUGGACGAAAGUCUGACGGAGCAACGCCGCGUGAGUGAUGAAGGCUUUCGGGUCGUAAAACCCUGUUGUUAGGGAAGAACAAGUGCUAGUUGAAUAAGCUGGCACCUUGACGGUACCUAACCAGAAAGCCACGGCUAACUACGUGCCAGCAGCCGCGGUAAUACGUAGGUGGCAAGCGUUAUCCGGAAUUAUUGGGCGUAAAGCGCGCGCAGGUGGUUUCUUAAGUCUGAUGUGAAAGCCCACGGCUCAACCGUGGAGGGUCAUUGGAAACUGGGAGACUUGAGUGCAGAAGAGGAAAGUGGAAUUCCAUGUGUAGCGGUGAAAUGCGUAGAGAUAUGGAGGAACACCAGUGGCGAAGGCGACUUUCUGGUCUGUAACUGACACUGAGGCGCGAAAGCGUGGGGAGCAAACAGGAUUAGAUACCCUGGUAGUCCACGCCGUAAACGAUGAGUGCUAAGUGUUAGAGGGUUUCCGCCCUUUAGUGCUGAAGUUAACGCAUUAAGCACUCCGCCUGGGGAGUACGGCCGCAAGGCUGAAACUCAAAGGAAUU